rnacentral:rRNA from 1 species
UACGGAGGGUGCAAGCGUUAUCCGGAUUCACUGGGUUUAAAGGGUGCGUAGGCGGGCAGGUAAGUCCGUGGUGAAAUCUCUGAGCUUAACUCAGAAACUGCCAUGGAUACUAUUUGUCUUGAAUGUUGUGGAGGUAAGCGGAAUAUGUCAUGUAGCGGUGAAAUGCUUAGAUAUGACAUAGAACACCAAUUGCGAAGGCAGCUUACUACACAAAUAUUGACGCUGAGGCACGAAAGCGUGGGGAGCAAGACGG